GUGUUCAAUUAGACAGCAUAUCGACUAAAAUUGGAAUAAUACAGAGAAGGCUAGCAUAUACCUGCAAAAAAUGGCAUGUAAAUUUGUGAAGCAUUCCAUAUUUUA
ensembl:snRNA U6 U6 spliceosomal RNA